AAUUUAGGAUGUCUUUAUUUAUUUUAUUUACCUACUCCCUUGUGUUCAUAAUAAAAACCCUAUGAUUUUGUCUUCUAAGAAUGUGACUUCCCUACUAAUGCAAAUUGCCAGUCAACCUCUGCUCCUCUUUUAAGCCUUGCCACGUACGAACUGGCAGAUGACAGUCUGGGAUUACAUGCUGCUUAAACAAAUGAUUUGCCCAUAUAACACUGGCUAAGGAGCUCAUGGUUUUAAAGUGGGAACAUUUACUGAAGUAACAGGAAAAAAAAAAACCCUACUAAUAAGUUGAUUCUGCUUAUGGACACAGAAAGAAGGGGCUGUCUAUGAACCAGGAAACAAGUCCUCACCAGACAUAAAAUCUGUCAAUGCCUUGAUCCUGGCCUUCCCAGCCUCCAGAACUUAAUACUGAGAGUGGCAGAAGAGGGAAAUUACCAUGAGAGUGGAAGUGACCACAUUGGUGAGUCAAAGCCAAUGAGUAAUUAUGCUGUUUAAAAUAGAGGCAACAUAUACAGUUGACCUUUGUAUUAGCAGGGUUGUCUAGUGGGACAGAAUUAAUAGGAUAGAUACAUAUAAAUGGGAGUUUAUUAAAAAGUAUUAACUCACACAAUCACAAGGUGAGGUCUCACAAUAGGCUAUCUGCAAGCUGAAAUGCAAGGAAGCCAUUCCAAGUCCCAAAGCUGAAGAACUUAGAGUAUGAUGUUCAAGGGCAGGAAGCAUCCAGCAUGGGAGAAAGCUGUAGCCUCAGAAAUUAAAUCGGUCUAAUCUCUCCACGUUCUUCUGCCUGUUUUUAUACUGG
rnacentral:lncRNA from 13 species